CGUGGCCUAGUGGUGAAGGCGCUGGGCUAAUGUGCCAAUGGUUGUGGGUUCAAGCCCG
rnacentral:tRNA from 11 species